rnacentral:lncRNA from 1 species
ACGGGUGCGGGUGAGACGCGGCUGCGGCGGGUGCGGCUACGCGCCGCGGCCGAUGCGGCGGAGGCACAGAGCGCACGCGGCGGCCGCGGCUCGCUGGCGGCGACGCGGCGAGUGCGGCCGGCGUGGGGGAGUCGAGGCGGCGUUGGGAGGCGGGGGGAGUCGAGGCGGCCGGGGCGUCGGGGUGGGUCACCCGAGGCGGUGGGGCAGAGGGCGAGGGUGAGAGGGAGGUGGAGGGGCAGGGGCCGGUGGGCCGCCUGCCCAGCUGGGCCGGCCCACCAGCGGCCAAUUUAGGGUUUUUUCUUAUUUUUUAUUUUUCUCAUAUGAUGUAUAAAUAUAUUAUUAAUUAUUAAUUGUCCUAAAUAAUUAUUAAUUGUUCUAAAUAAAUGUAUAUGAUGUAUUAUUGAUUAUUAAUUGUCCUA